UACUAGAGUAGCACUCGCAUAUCAAUAAGCGGAGGAAAAGAAACUAACAAGGAUUCCCCUAGUAACGGCGAGUGAAGCGGGAAGAGCUCAAAUUUGAAAUCUUAAAGGGUUUCCCUUUACGAAUUGUAGUUUAAAGAAGUGUUUUCUGUUGAGGUUUUGGUAAAAGUUCUUUGGAAUAGGACAUCAUAGAGGGUGAGAAUCCCGUAUUUGACCUUUACUUUCAACUUUGUGAUACACUUUCAAAGAGUCGGAUUGUUUGGGAAUGCAGUCCAAAAUGGGUGGUAAAUUUCAUCUAAAGCUAAAUAUUGGCGAGAGACCGAUAGCGAACAAGUACCGUGAGGGAAAGAUGAAAAGAACUUUGAAAAGAGAGUUAAACAGUACGUGAAAUUGUCAAAAGGGAAGCGUUUGACACCAGUGUUGUUUUCCUGAAAAUCAAUUAAAGAACUGUUUAUGCUAAGUUGUUUAGACUUUAUCAGCUAUCUGUUUAGUUUUGAGCUUUUCUUUAAUGCACUUUUCAGUUAACAAGUCAACAUCAAUUUCUUUUGCUGUAAAAAAGCUUGAGGAAGGUGGCUUGAGAUUCGUCUUAAGUGUUUAUAGCCUCUUGCCUAUGCAGUCGGAGAGAUUGAGGUCUGCAGCGUAGAUCCUUCGGGGCUAAAUGCAUUUGUGCUAAGUUAUAGCAUUUUAUAGACAACUUGUUGACUAUGAUUUGUCUUGUAGCUUACUCGCUUAUGUUAUUUUACCUACGCUUAGGAUGUUGAACUCUAUCACACACAG
rnacentral:rRNA from 1 species